rnacentral:rRNA from 1 species
UACGGGGGGGAGCAAGCGUUGUUCGGAUUUACUGGGCGUAAAGGGCGCGUAGGCGGCCACCGCAAGUCGGUUGUGAAAUCUCUGGGCUUAACCCAGAAAGGUCAACCGAUACUGCGGGGCUAGAGUGCAGAAGGGGCAACUGGAAUUCUCGGUGUAGCGGUGAAAUGCGUAGAUAUCGAGAGGAACACCUGCGGCGAAGGCGGGUUGCUGGGCUGACACUGACGCUGAAGCGCGAAAGCUAGGGGGAGCGAACGGG